GAUGAACGCUGGCGGCGUGCUUAACACAUGCAAGUCGAACGAUGAAGCCCAGCUUGCUGGGUGGAUUAGUGGCGAACGGGUGAGUAACACGUGAGUAACCUGCCCUUAACUCUGGGAUAAGCCUGGGAAACUGGGUCUAAUACCGGAUAGGAGCGUCCACCGCAUGGUGGGUGUUGGAGAGAUUUAUCGGUUUUGGAUGGACUCGCGGCCUAUCAGCUUGUUGGUGAGGUAAUGGCUCACCAAGGCGACGACGGGUAGCCGGCCUGAGAGGGUGACCGGCCACACUGGGACUGAGACACGGCCCAGACUCCUACGGGAGGCAGCAGUGGGGAAUAUUGCACAAUGGGCGAAAGCCUGAUGCAGCGACGCCGCGUGAGGGAUGACGGCCUUCGGGUUGUAAACCUCUUUCAGUAGGGAAGAAGCGAAAGUGACGGUACCUGCAGAAGAAGCACCGGCUAACUACGUG
rnacentral:rRNA from 1 species